rnacentral:rRNA from 1 species
AUUCCAGCUCCAAUAGCGUAUAUUAAAGUUGUUGCGGUAAAAAAGCUCGUAGUUGGAUUUCUGUUGCGAAUGGCCGGUCUUCACUACGUGAAUGUAUCUGGUUCAAUCGUGGCAUCCUCAUAGGAAACGUUGCUGCGCUUCACUGCGUGGUGCGGUGCCUAUGACUUUUACUUUGAGGAAAUUAGAGUGUUCACGGCAGGCAAUCGCCCUGAAUAUGUUAGCAUGGGAUAAUAAUAUAGGAUCUUGGUUCUAUUUUGUUGGUUUCUAGAGCUAAGAUAAUGGUUAAUAGGAACAAUUGGGGGCAUUUGUAUUAACAUGUCAGAGGUGGAAUUCUUGGAUUAUGUUACGACAAACUACUGCGAAAGCAUUUGCCAAGGAUGUUUUCAUUG